CCAAGGAGUCUAACAUGUGCGCGAGUCAUAGGGACCGUCGAAUCCCGAAGGCGCAAUGAAAGUGAAGGCCGGCCUCGCGGCCGGCCGAGGCAGGAUCCCGUCGUCAAGGCGGGCGCACUGCCGGCCCGUCUCGAUAGCGGCGCGGCCGUUCGCGGCCCGCGUUUCGUCUACGAGGCGGAGCAAGAGCGUACACGUUGGUACCCGAAAGAUGGUGAACUAUGCCUGAGCAGGACGAAGUCAGAGGAAACUCUGAUGGAGGUCCGCAGCGAUUCUGACGUGCAAAUCGAUCGUCAAACUUGGGUAUAGGGGCGAAAGACUAAUCGAACCAUCUA
rnacentral:rRNA from 1 species